CAAGACCUUCUCUCAAAAUGAAAAAGAGAUAUAGCUGUGGUAAAAUAUCCCUAGGUUUAAUUUCAAGUAGAGGAGGAAAAACAAUAAAGAAUCCUACAUCAUACAUAUAUUUUAUUUUGAGACAGUGGCUCCACUAGUUUGCUGAUGCUGGCUUUGAACUUCUGAUCCUCCUGCCUCUUUCUCUGGAGCCACUGGGAUUACAGAUGUGCACCACCGUGCCAGCUGUUUAUUUAUUUUGGAGGUAAUGGGGAUUGAACCCAGGGGGCUCUCCCACUUAAAUAUAUCAAUAGCCCUUUUUAUUUUUAAUUUUGAGACAGUGUCUCUAUAACUUUCCCAGGGUGAUCUCCUAAUUGUGAUCCUCCUCUCAGCCUCUGAUGUAGCUGGGACUACAGUUGUGGGCCACUGCACUUGGCUCAUGAUUAUUUUGAGGAAAAAUUUGUAGUGCUGGGGAUUGAUCUCAAGGCCUCACUUAGUAUGUGCUCCGCCACUGAGUUACACUCACAGCCUAUAGCAUAAUUAUUUUGAGAUCCAUCCAAAUUGUUCAUUUCUUUUUAUUGCUGAGUUGUAGUCCAUUAUACAAAUAUACCAGUGUGUUGAUCAUUUACCUACUGAUAGGCAUUUGAGUUGUUUCCAGUUUUGGACCACUAACAAAUGUUAUGGACUGAAUUGUGUGCCCUCUUCCCCUGAUAAAUUCACAUUAAAGACCUAACCAGCCAGGUGCAAUGACACACGCUUGUAAUCGCAGUGGUUUGGGAUGUUGAGACCAGAGGAUUGAAAGUUCAAAACCAGCCUCAGCAAAAGCGAGACACUAAGCAACUCAGUGAGACCCUGUCUCUAAAUAAAAUACAUAAUAGGGCUGUGGAUGUGGCUCAGUGGUUGAGUGCCUCUGAGUUCAAUCCCCAGUAUCCCCCUCCCCUCAAAAAAAAGUAGAAGCAGAAGCAGAUGCAUGCUCAGUUCUUCUAGAGUGGGUGCUUUGAUUGCUGCUUGAUUGCCUGAAGACAUCAGACUCACUCUGCCAAAUUGUACUGUUUUUAAAAAAAUAUUUUUUCUAGUUGUAGAUAAACCCACAGUAUCUUUUUUUUUUUUUUAAUGUGGUGCUGAGGAUCGAACCCAGGGCCUCACACAUGUGAGGCAGCUGCUUUACCACUGAGCUACAGCCCCCAACUCCCAAACUGUACUCUUUUUUUAAUAUUUAUUUUUUCUUUGUAGUCGGACACAAUACCUUUAUUUUAUGUAUUUAUUUUUAUGUGGUGCUAAGGAUCAAACACAGGGCCUCACACUUGCUAGGUGAGUGCUCUACCUCUGAGCUACAACCCUAGCCCCCAAACUGUACUCUUAAUGGUGACUCUCCAGAGAGUUUCCAGGCCUUAAGUACCUGAGUGGAAAUGCAUCAUUGUUUGGUUCCUUUUGUUCUGAAGCUCCGAAUUCUUGAACUGUGUAGUUACUGGUUCCUCCAGGUCUCUAGCCUGUUGAACACCAUUGUGGGACUAUCCACAAUGAUCAUGUAAGACAAUCUAACAAAUUCCCUUUUAAUAAUAAUAAAAACUCUAAUCACCAAUGCGACAGUAUCUAGAGACAGGGUCUUUAAGAGGUAAUUAGGUUAAAUGAGAUUAUAAGGUGGGGCUAUAUACAGUCCUAAUCAGAUGAACUGUAUGUAGCCUUACAAAAAAAAAGGAAGAGAGGGCUGGGGAUGUGUCUCAGUGGUAGAAUGCUUGCCUACCAUGCAUGAAUCUCUAGGUUUGAUCACCAGCACUCCCCCCAAAUUAAAAAAAAAAAGGAAGAGAGAGAGGGUUCUGUCUCCCUCUGAUAUCUCUUUUCCACUCUCAACUCAAUGUGAGGACACAGCCAGAAGGAAGCCAUCUACAAGCCAAGAUUUUUUUCCAGCAACCGAAUGACCAGCACCUUGAUCUUGGACUUUCCAGUCUCUAGAAGUGUUAGAAAUUAAAUUUCUGUUGUUUCAGCCACCCAAUCUCUGUAGUAUUUUGUUAUGGCAGCCCAAGAUGAAUAUGACAAGAAAUAAAGGUGACAUUCAUGUACAAAUCUUAGUGUAGAAGUCUGCUUUUUUUAAAAAAAAAAAAAAGGUAAAUAAAUACCCAGAAGUGGAAUGGCUGAAAUCAUACCUAUAUGUUUAACUUAAGACACUGCCAAACUGUUUUCCAAAGUUGCUAAGCCAUUU
rnacentral:lncRNA from 1 species